rnacentral:misc_RNA from 1 species
UCUCCGUUGGUGAACCAGCGGAGGGAUCAUUACCGAGUUUUUCUACUCCCAAACCCCUGUGAACUCAUCCGUUCGCCGUUGCUUUGGCGGGUUAACGCCCCGCAAGGGCCAAAAAGCCGCCCGAGCCAGGCGCCCCCCGGGGGACCCAAACUCUUGUAUUUCUUACUUUGCAUGUCUGAGUGGAAUCGUAUACAAAUGAAUCAAAACUUUCAACAACGGAUCUCUUGGUUCUG